rnacentral:rRNA from 1 species
UACGUAGGGUGCAAGCGUUGCCCGGAUUUAUUGGGCGUAAAGGGCGCGUAGGCGGCUCGGCACGUCCGUUGUGAAAUCGCCCGGCUCAACUGGGCGGGGUCAGCGGAUACGGUCGAGCUUGAGCAAGCUAGGGGGCAAUGGAAUUCCCGGUGUAGUGGUGGAAUGCGUUGAGAUCGGAAGGAACGCCCGUGGCGAAAGCGAGGUCCUGGACGUCUUCUGACGCUGAGAUGCGAAAGCCAGGGGAGCGAACGGG